rnacentral:rRNA from 1 species
AUUGAACGCUGGCGGCAGGCCUAACACAUGCAAGUCGAGCGGAUGAAGGGAGCUUGCUCCUGGAUUCAGCGGCGGACGGGUGAGUAAUGCCUAGGAAUCUGCCUGGUAGUGGGGGAUAACGUCCGGAAACGGGCGCUAAUACCGCAUACGUCCUGAUGGAGAAAGUGGGGGAUCUUCGGACCUCACGCUAUCUGAUGAGCCUAGGUCGGAUUAGCUAGUUGGUGGGGUAAAGGCCUACCAAGGCGACGAUCCGUAACUGGUCUGAGAGGAUGAUCAGUCACACUGGAACUGAGACACGGUCCAGACUCCUACGGGAGGCAGCAGUGGGGAAUAUUGGACAAAGGGCGAAAGCCUGAUCCAGCCAUGCCGCGUGUGUGAAGAAGGUCUUCGGAUUGUAAAGCACUUUAAGUUGGGAGGAAGGGCAGUAAGUGAAUACCUUGCUGUUUUGACGUUACCAACAGAAUAAGCACCGGCUAACUUCGUG